UGGGGAAUUGUUCACAAUGGGCGCAAGCCUGAUGACGCAACGCCGCGUGGGGGAUGAAGGCCUUCGGGUCGUAAACCCCUGUCGAAUGGGACGAAUAGCCCGGGUACUAACAAGGCCCGGGAAUGACGGUACCGUUAAAGGAAGCCACGGCUAACUCUGUGCCAGCAGCCGCGGUAAUACAGAGGUGGCAAGCGUUGUUCGGAAUUACUGGGCGUAAAGGGCGCGUAGGCGGCCCACUAAGUCAGACGUGAAAUCCCCCGGCUUAACCUGGGAACUGCGUCUGAUACUGGAGGGCUUGAGUAUGGGAGAGGGAUGUAGAAUUCCAGGUGUAGCGGUGAAAUGCGUAGAUAUCUGGAGGAAUACCGGUGGCGAAGGCGGCAUCCUGGACCAUUACUGACGCUGAGGCGCGAAAGCUAGGGGAGCAAACGG
rnacentral:rRNA from 1 species